ACGAACCGUCCGAACGUUAUUCGGUAUCACUGGGCUUAAAGAGUUCGUAGGCGGCCAAGCAGGUCAGGUGUGAAAUCCCACAGCUCAACUGUGGAACUGCGCUUGAAACCGCAUGGCUCGAGGGAGAUAGAGGUAAGCGGAACAGAUGGUGGAGCGGUGAAAUGCGUUGAUAUCAUCUGGAACACCGGUGGCGAAAGCGGCUUACUGGAUCUCUUCUGACGCUGAGGAACGAAAGCUAGGGUAGCGAACGG
rnacentral:rRNA from 1 species